UACGUAGGUGGCAAGCGUUGUCCGGAUUUACUGGGCGUAAAGAGCGCGCAGGCGGUCGUUCAAGUCGCGUGUGAAAGCCCCCGGCUCAACUGGGGAGGGUCACGCGAUACUGAUCGACUCGAAGGCAGGAGAGGGUAGUGGAAUUCCCGGUGUAGUGGUGAAAUGCGUAGAUAAUAGGAAGGAACACCAGUGGCGAAGGCGACCACCUGGACUAAUACUGACACUGAGGUGCGAAAGCGUGGGGAGCAAACAGG
rnacentral:rRNA from 1 species